AAUGUCCGAGUAAGAAUAUCUUAUCGGCAUAAGGUUAUUAUGGGUUUGUAGGAAUUCUUCAAUUGUGUCAUAUUCCGACCGAUGUUUCCUUCGCCAUUUGAAUACAAGAAAAGCAAUUACAAAUGGAAAUCCAAAUAAAGCUCUUCCAACCAAAAACUUUCCUGCAUUUACGGAAGCAUUCAAUAGAGACAAUGCAAGGGUUACGUUUAUAGAAGUACAAGGUUUUCAUGUGUGUCGUGUGUUCUUAUGUUGUCUCUAUAUGUAAAUAUGAUACUGAUAUAUUUUCAGAUUCAUUAACGAAAGUUCUUAGUUCUUACCAAUAACAGUGAAUAUCAAUGAGUACUCAACUGCGGAAAAUGUAGAAAAAAUUACUGAUGUUGAUAUUCAAUAAAAAGAACUAAUUAAUUAAAUAUGAUCACGUAUCAUGUAAUAAAUAGAGAGAGACCUUACAUUUGAUUGCAUUGACGAUCGUACUGAUUCCAUACAUCAAUAUACCGAGCAGAUCAGGUAUACCGAAGUGGUUAUUAGUGUCCUGGUGGAUUCGCAAAGAGGAGUUGUAGUACAAGAAAAGCUCAAACCCAUAGGCAAGUUGCCUGUGAAUUUCAACGCAGGAUAUAUUAUUAUUAUCCUUGUUCUCGAAAGCCUUUUCAUCUGGAAGCAAAGAUAUCAUCUCCACGCUGCACAACUCCAUCAAAUCAGAUACCUUGGUAUCUUCAUCUAUAAUCUACGCAUAAGUAUAUGUCUCCAAAGCAGAACCUCCAUUAAUGCAAGUAGAACAGUCCAGGUAAGAUGGGGAGUACACUGGAUUUGGGCACUUUAUGAAACUAAUCAUCUGUCGUGAAUAGGAAUUCAAGUAUCGAUCAUCUCCCUCCAAGAAGUUGCUAGGAGUUAAAGGAAAACGAGGAAUGGAGGAGCAAUCAUCUGGGUUGAUGCCAUCAUCCACCAGUCGGAUGGUGGAGUGAUCGUAGUUGAUGGCCUGCACAUAGUAUCUUCCUCUGAAUAGAUUCAACACUGUGAUAUUAUUUUCGCAAGAAAGCUCAUAUCUAUGUUUUCCGCAAUGGUUUGGAUC
rnacentral:misc_RNA from 1 species